rfam:Tncultured Termite group 1 bacterium phylotype Rs-D17 DNA, complete genome.
GCCGAUGUAGCUCAGCUGGCAGAGCAAUUGCUUCGUAAGCAAUGGGUCAGAGGUUCAAAUCCUCUCAUCGGCU